UACGAAGGGGGCUAGCGUUGUUCGGAAUUACUGGGCGUAAAGCGUGCGCAGGCGGUUCGUUGUGUCGGUGGUGAAAGCCCCGGGCUUAACCUGGGAAUGGCCAUGGAAACUGGCGAACUGGAGUGUGGCAGAGGGGGGUGGAAUUCCGCGUGUAGCAGUGAAAUGCGUAGAGAUGCGGAGGAACACCGACGGCGAAGGCAGCCCCCUGGGUCAAGAUUGACGCUCAUGCACGAAAGCGUGGGGAGCAAACAGG
rnacentral:rRNA from 1 species